CACGUAGGGGGCGAGCGUUGUCCGGAUUCAUUGGGCGUAAAGCGCGCGCAGGCGGCUCGGAAAGUCGGGUGUGAAAACUCGGGGCUCAACCCCGGGCGUGCAUCCGAUACUGCCGGGCUUGAGGCAGGUAGGGGAGAUCGGAAGUUCCUGGUGUAGCGGUGAAAUGCGCAGAUAUCAGGAGGAACACCGGUGGCGAAGGCGGAUCUCUGGGCCUGUCCUGACGCUGAGACGCGAAAGCGUGGGGAGCAAACAGG
rnacentral:rRNA from 1 species